CCACAUGAUCCCACCCAAUCACAAGGAGGACAGCGAUCAUCUACAGCAUUUGUGAAAGAUGGAAAGGGAGGAAUAUUUGAUACCAUAUAAUUCAUAAAAAGGUUUUUAAAAAAAUCAAAGCGGCCCCAUCACUGCCACCAUCUGACUUGACGGCAACGCCCUUCUUGCAGCCAAAGCUGAGAGCCCUGUUUGCCUUCACCCUGGGAGGGUUCAACACUUCUUAAGCCUGGGUUCACCCAGAAAACAGGCUGAGAUGUAUAUGUUGUACUUUGAUGGCCAAGUGUGGUCCUGGGGAACAACCAAGGGAUGGAUGGAUGAAAUGAGGAAAGCAAGAGAGCCAACAUAAGAAUGGUCCAUUGAGUGGACCACUGUGAGGCUGC
rnacentral:lncRNA from 1 species